CAGCUCCAGGUUGUAAUUGUUCUGCCUAAGGAUUUCCUUGUUCAGAUCAAUCUGCCUAAAGCCCAUUUCCUCCAGCUCCCUCAGCAGCUUCUCUUCAUUGUGACCAUCUAUGUCAAAAGGCUCAGGUGCUGCGGCGCUGGCUGCAGGUGGAGGCACAGGCACAGAAGCAGGGGCAGGGGCAGAUGCAGGUGCGGAUGCAGGGGCAGGCAUAGAAACAGGCACAGUUGUAGGCAGGAUAGGCACAUUAACAGGUGAAGGUCCAACCGGGGCAAGCAGCUCAGGUGCAGGUGCAGGCACACUAACAGAAGGCACAAAAGCAGCAGCAGUGGCACUGGACAUGGGAACAUCAACGACAAGGUUUGCAGGAGCUGCUGCAGGCAUAGAGGUAGCAACUACUAGAGCAGGCUGAGAUUUCUUGGGCUCUGGAAC
rnacentral:lncRNA from 1 species